rnacentral:rRNA from 1 species
ACUGGACUGAGACACGGUCCAGACUCCUACGGGAGGCAGCAGUGGGGAAUAUUGCACAAUGGGCGAAAGCCUGAUGCAGCCAUGCCGCGUGUAUGAAGAAGGCCUUCGGGUUGUAAAGUACUUUCAGUUGUGAGGAAGGGUGUGUAGUUAAUAGCUGCGCAUCUUGACGUUAGCAACAGAAGAAGCACCGGCUAACUCCGUGCCAGCAGCCGCGGUAAUACGGAGGGUGCGAGCGUUAAUCGGAAUUACUGGGCGUAAAGCGCAUGCAGGUGGUUCAUUAAGUCAGAUGUGAAAGCCCGGGGCUCAACCUCGGAACUGCAUUUGAAACUGGUGAACUAGAGUGCUGUAGAGGGGGGUAGAAUUUCAGGUGUAGCGGUGAAAUGCGUAGAGAUCUGAAGGAAUACCAGUGGCGAAGGCGGCCCCCUGGACAGACACUGACACUCAGAUGCGAAAGCGUGGGGAGCAAACAGGAUUAGAUACCCUGGUAGUCCACGCCGUAAACGAUGUCUACUUGGAGGUUGUGGCCUUGAGCCGUGGCUUUCGGAGCUAACGCGUUAAGUAGACCGCCUGGGGAGUACGGUCGCAAGAUUAAAACUCAAAUGAAUUGACGGGGGCCCGCACAAGCGGUGGAGCAUGUGGUUUAAUUCGAUGCAACGCGAAGAACCUUACCUACUCUUGACAUCCAGAGAAGCCAGCGGAGACGCAGGUGUGCCUUCGGGAGCUCUGAGACAGGUGCUGCAUGGCUGUCGUCAGCUCGUGUU